rnacentral:lncRNA from 1 species
GGGGAACAAUGUAGUCCUUUUGAAACUCUCUUGUAUCAAAUUUCUUAUUAUAUUCAUAUGCUUUUAUUAUCAAUAGUUUGAGUUUUCUUUCUGCGGAUAAAGCUUGCACCAUUUAACUCAUUUGGUGUCAUGAUUUUUUAUUUUGUCGAUACAGGAACGUACGGGGAGAUCUAGAACUUGGAGAAUCCUCUUGAUUAUGAAAUACUACCUAGGAAUAGGAAUAGGACGAUCAAUUGCUUUAAGCUUAUAUGAUUAAUGCAUUAGUAAUUACUAAGGAGACUAGGAAUAGAAAACUAGUAAUUAUGGUAAUAGGCUCUUUUCAUCGAGGAAUCGGUUUUAGAGUAAUAUAGAAAGUUGCAUGAACAUUGAUAAUAAAAAGCAAAUUUAAUAAGAAUAGUAGAUAUAAGAGAGUGGAUAAGGAUGAAAUUGUAAACCCCAGC